GACGUAGGGCGCGGGCGUUGUCCGGAUUUAUUGGGCGUAAAGAGCUCGUAGGCGGCUUGUCGCGUCAACUGUGAAAACCCGUGGCUCAACCAUGUGGUCUGCAGUCGAUACGGGCAGGCUAGAAUUCGGUAGGGGAGACUGGAAUUCCUGGUGUAGCGGUGAAAUGCGCAGAUAUCAGGAGGAACACCGAUGGCGAAGGCAGCUCGCUGGGACGGUACUGACGCUGAGGCGCGAAAGCGUGGGGAGCAAACAGG
rnacentral:rRNA from 1 species